rnacentral:lncRNA from 1 species
GUCUGAAUAAUUGAUUACUAUUUAAUAUGUUUAGGGAUUUCGACAAAUUAGAUUAAUGCAAAAAAUCAAAACUUCUCAUUAUAACUCUUGUAUUGAAAAAUAAAUCAUCAGUUUAUCAAAAAAAAAUCAAAACUGAUACCAGACUUGCUAACAGGCGGACAGCAAAAUGCGCAAAUCCAUAAUCUGAUACCUGUUGCUGUUUUUUUUUUAAUGCUUAUAAUAAAUCUUUAAUCCUUAAAACUAUAGUUGACUAAAUACCAAAAAUAGGUUAACACAUAAACUGUGUAUUAAUUAUUUCCAAUUGUUAAUGAGGGGCAAUAGGAUGGUAUGUCAUCCCAAAAUUCUUGAAAAAAAUAAAGGAUACUUGCUUGGAUCCGGAAAAAACUAAUCAUUAAUUUUAAAUCUGCUACCCGGGUUAUUCAGUGUGCAUCACAUUUUUUUAUGUUAUUUCUUCAUAGACAGAAAAAAUAUUAGUCAUUCCUGAAAUAAAUGAAAAUCCCAAUUCCUGUGAAAAAUAGAGACAUAAUCCCGAAUUCCUGCAAAACAAACGCCCAAACUUGAUGUCCUCAAUAAGGUCCCUCCACCCCUCAUUAAUGACUUAUAUUAAGCAGUGUAUCUUUAAUGUUACACAAUGUAUUCAGUAGGCACAGUUCUUAAGAUAGAUAAUUUUAAGUAUUUUUUACUGAAAUUUCUAUUUAUUUUAGUACCAUUUCUCAGUACUUGUAAUCAGAAUUUGUGUGAAUGCAAC